AAAAGAAGCAGAAGAAGAAGGUUGGCGUCGUGUUCAAAGGCAUCUUACUGCGAAGGUUGUUUACAAGCAAGUAAUCCAUUGUGCAGUUGUUUAAACUUAUUACAAAACUUUUUUCUUCGUUCUCGUUCUUCCUCCAGGAGCGCACACAGCACUGUCGAGCCGGCACUUUCACUGAGCUAAAAGACUACAAUGACUACAACCUUGUCGAAAACAACCCCCUUUCCGUUUCCAGAUUACUACCAAGGGACAAUGAGGCUUUUCUAGAAAACCAAUGGGGUAGACAAAAUGUCAAAUAAAUCAUCAUGGACUACGAUUUUUAUGUCAGAACAUCAACGAACACCACUGACCACUCGUUUUCCUCUAGGUGAUACAGUGGACCAGGUGGAGACUGACCCUGACCUCAGGGUAUCCACACUGUGAAACCUGAAUGAGCGGUGCCAACAGAGGAAAUACCUCAUGUAUGGAGGGUUGUAUUUGGUACCAUUUCUGAACUGUGGAGAAGGAAGACUGCAUGGACAACAUCCUGAGUUCUCAAAUGGGUUGUGAUUAUGAUGCCAGAAAAUCAUUUUAAGUUCAGCUUCCUCUGAUAAAAGGACAGACCAAGUUUUACAUUUUUUUUUAUUCUCUGUCCAUAGUAUUCAGAGAUUCAGUUUCUUGCCUUUGACUACCUUUAAAUUUCUACUGUUUUUAGAUAGCCGAUGGAGGUAGUAACAUUUAAAAAAAUAACAGAAUUCUUUAAACAUUAAAUGGGAAUCAAGUGAUGGAUCAACUAUAGCACAGUCACCACCUGCACAGGUGAAGUUAUUUCCUAAUCUGACAUCAAAAGGGUCUUUAUUAGCAAACAGCUGGAAAUGGCCAAACCAGAAGUGCACCCAGGCGCAAAAUGUGACUCCUGUAAUAGGUUACAUGUGUACUGAGUAUUCAUUAGGCAUACAAACUCUGUUGUGUGUAAUGAAGAUUUGACAAUUAGAUUGUAAUUUCAAAGCAGUUGGGUUCAGUAAUUUUUAUCGCAUGUCCUUGUAUGUUUUUUUCAUUUUCAUUCAGACCUACAAGAUGUCAGUGUGCUACAUCUUAUGUACAUUAGUUUCAUUCCAAAUUACAGUAAUUUCAAUUGAAAAAAGGGUUUAAUGUCUUUGAAAUUUGUGAUUAUAGUUUUCCAUUUCAUUGAAUUUUUAAUAAACCCACCGUGAUUAAAAAGUACUGAGUGCAUUUUUCAGUAACUACAGAACAUUUGUCUGUUGUUUUUUUUUGUGUCAGAUUUACCGUAUGCCUCAUGAAUCUAAUAGGACACUUUAGUGUUUUUCAGUGUCGUAAUAAAUAAAAAGCACAAACUG